rnacentral:rRNA from 3 species
GUGGGCAACCUGCCUAUAAGACUGGGAUAACUUCGGGAAACCGGAGCUAAUACCGGAUACGUUCUUUUCUCGCAUGAGAGAAGAUGGAAAGACGGUUUACGCUGUCACUUAUAGAUGGGCCCGCGGCGCAUUAGCUAGUUGGUGAGGUAAUGGCUCACCAAGGCGACGAUGCGUAGCCGACCUGAGAGGGUGAUCGGCCACACUGGGACUGAGACACGGCCCAGACUCCUACGGGAGGCAGCAGUAGGGAAUCUUCCGCAAUGGACGAAAGUCUGACGGAGCAACGCCGCGUGAACGAAGAAGGCCUUCGGGUCGUAAAGUUCUGUUGUUAGGGAAGAACAAGUACCAGAGUAACUGCUGGUACCUUGACGGUACCUAACCAGAAAGCCACGGCUAACUACGUGCCAGCAGCCGCGGUAAUACGUAGGUGGCAAGCGUUGUC